GGUGGGGUGCUAGAGCGGCCAAAUAGGACGGCUUGGAAAGCCGUGACCCUAACGGGUCCCGUGGGUUCGAAUCCCACCCCCACCGCCA
rnacentral:tRNA from 1 species